rnacentral:rRNA from 1 species
GACGAACGCUGGCGGCGUGCUUAACACAUGCAAGUCGAACGGACAGGCCCUGCUUUUGUGGGGUGCUCGAGUGGCGAACGGGUGAGUAACACGUGAGUAACCUGCCCCUGACUUUGGGAUAACUUCAGGAAACUGGGGCUAAUACCGGAUAUGAGCUCCUGCCGCAUGGUGGGGGUUGGAAAGUUUCGGCGGUUGUGGAUAGACUCGCGGCUUAUCAGCUUGUUGGUGGGGUAGUGGCUUACCAAGGCUUUGACGGGUAGCCGGCCUGAGAGGGUUACCGGCCACAUUGGGACUGAGAUACGGCCCAGACUCCUACGGGAGGCAGCAGUGGGGAAUAUUGCACAAUGGGCGGAAGCCUGAUGCAGCAACGCCGCGUGCGGGAUGACGGCCUUCGGGGUGUAAACCGCUUUCGCCUGUGACGAAGCGUGAGUGACGGUAAUGGGUAAAGAAGCACCGGCUAACUACGUG